GGAAAACAAUUUUUAAAAUCCAUUAAAAUAAGGAAAAGACAUGAGCAGACCAUCACAAAAAGAGUUAUAAAAAUCAUCUUUAAAGACAGAAAAAGAUACUUUACUCAUAAUUAGAGAAAUGCAAAUUAAAACCAUACUGAGAUAUUGUUACUGGAUUGGCAACAAUUUAAAAAGUAUGUAACAACACAUUCUGUAGGGAAACAGGCACUCUCAUACACUGCUUGGAAGAAAUGCAAACUGCUGCAAAGGUUUUGAAGGGAAAUUUGGCAAGAAAACUACAUAUACACUUACCUUUCAACUCACCAAGUCCAAUUCUAGGAACUGACCCAGAUAUACUCCAAUAAUACAAAAAUACAUUUGCACAGGGUGACUAAGUACAACACUGUUUGCUACUGCAAAAUAUUAGAAAUAAUAUAAAUGUCUAAAUAUAGGAGAGUGGUUAAAUAAGUUAUGUACAACUGCACAGCUGUAGGAGAAAAACAGAAAAAGACUAAAAUUUAGGAUUGUUUUCCAGGAUACAUUAAGUUAAAAAAGGACCCCAAAAAAGUGCAAAAGAGGAACUGUUAUAUGCCACUUUUCAUGAAAGAAAAAAAGAGAAAUGAACUAUACAUUUAUCUACUUGUUUGUGACAAAAGAAACACUGAAAGGAUAACCCAGAAAUUAAUAAGAUAAGAAAUAAGGAAGAGAGGCAUUGGUGGAGGAAGCAUGACAGGGGCAGAGGAAGGAGCAUUUCUCUGGGUAUAAGAGUUUGUGCUCUUCUGACUUUUAGAAAUCAUGACAAUAUUUAAUAGACCAAAAAUAUAAAUACAUGAUUAAAAUCAAGCAGGAUAAGGGGAGAACCCAAAAUACAAUAACAAUAGUAACAAAGGAGCCUAACUCUAUUACAAACUACACUGAAGGGGCUAGGGAAGAAAAGAAAAAACCUAAAUAAGUCUGAAAAACAGUAUUUUGAUUACAUACUCUAAGAUGAAAAGAAAUGUACAACAAACAUCAUAAACUAGUUAGUAAGUUCCUCCACUCCCCUAGAAUGGCAUAGGUUAAGAAUUAGGAAGUGAAUCAAUAUAUAUUUUAGAAUUGUGCAAAUAGGUAAAUAAACUUUAAAUAAUUAGAGGCAGAUUUCUUACUGCCAGAGAAAGGAGUUACAAAUGAAGAAACGAGGAAGACUAAAAUAAACUUUAUGUGUCAGAUUAGAAUUAAACGUAUGAACUCCUGGUGAUGACAGAUGUUAGAUAGACAGAUAGGUAGAUAGAUAAUAGAUGAUAGAUUGAUCGACUUAGAUGAUGUGUAUGCGUGCUUGUUUACAUAUGCAUGGUUUCUUUUUGGCUUUACUUGCUGAAAAGGCCUAAAAUUAAAGAUGCCAAUAGCAAAGAAUACAGCAAGCAUGCAGAUUUAGAUUUCCAGAAACAAUUCUCUAAUCAAUGAGGGAUUCUUGGACAAAUUCCUGAUCCCAGAGCUAGGACAGCAAAAGCAUAAAAUUAGCUUGGAACGGUACAAGAAAGAAAAGAAGCACCUAAUAAUAAUAAUAAUGAUAACAACAACAGCAGCAGCAGCAGCAGACACACAUUGAAGGGACACACAAGUCAACGAGAAGAAGCUCCCAAUGGUCAAAUCUAAGCCAAUUUGGAGAACAAGUAAAUAAUGAUAACAGGUUAUAACAUAGAGAAUAAAAUAAAUAUCCAUGCUCCAUACCAAUAUACAUAAAUACUUGAAUAACCAAUAAAUGGGAAAGGGAAACUUCUCUUCUUUACAGAAUUCCAAUUAAUAAAUGUCAAGCAAGAUGGAAAUUUAAAAUAUCAUCAAUUGGCGAUUUUUGGGCCAAGACAGGAUAACAAACAGUCUUAAAGUAUCUCAUAAUAAGACACUAAUAAGUACAAAGAGUAAAAUCGUUAGUUUACAGUGGAGAAAUCCAGCAGACACUACCUUAACCAAAUGAUUAAAGUUAACAUCACCAAUAAUAAGAUUAAUCAACAUCAUGGACUCCCUAUAUAUGACAUACUAAGAAGGCCACAAUAUCACUUUCAUGGUACUUUUAUUAUGUAUGUAUAAUAUGAAUAUAACCCUACAAAUUUAAUCAAAUCUGGAUCUCAGAUCAUAAUUCAGCAUUAGAGAUAAUUGGCAAAAGUUGAAUAAUGUCUGUAGAUUAAUUAACAGUAUAGUAUCAAUGUUAAUUUCCUAAUUUUGAGAGUUGUACUAUAGUUAAGUAAGUUGUUAACAUCUGGAAAACUGGGUAAAGGGAAUGUGGGAACUUUAUACCAUAUUUUAGAUUUUUUUUCAGUUUUUUAUUAGCCUGAAAUUACUUCAUAGUAUAAAGUUUUGAAAAGUUAAAACUGCUACAAAGAAAGAAAAGGUAUUUUAAAACCCUGCCAUCUAUGGUUCAAAUAUUUUGCUGGAAAAGGAACAACUUAACCCCUUCUCAAAAUAAAAGGAUAUUUUCUUCUCAAGACAAAAAUGUUAAGUAUGCAUUUUACUUUAUGAAAAGCUAAAAUAUGUACAUGGAAAGAUAAUUCUUUACAUAAAUUCUCCCCCAGAUCAAUACGUUCCCUUUCUCUAACUCAUUAUUUUAAAUUUCCAACUAUUGCUCAUAUUUUCAGAGGAUAUGAUCCAGGUAAUGAUGUAAUUUUUCUGUAAAUUAGCUGCUAGUGAUAAUGUGACUCCAGUGGAUAUUGAGUGUCUUACAGUCUAAUUUUAAGUGUAUAAUGUUCUAGGCGGCAGAUUUCAGGGAGUUCCAUUUCUGCCCAAGCUAUUAGCUGUAAUUUAGCAGCAAAGAAGACUUGGCUCACAUGUAACAAGUACUAUGUGCAAUUAUGAAGUUUGCUUUUCGUUUUGAAAAAGGAAGGUGGAGAAAUGGAGAAUAGGAUAAAGGGACUAGAAAGGUUAGACCAAUUCUGCCAACAACAAGAGUCUUCACUAUGGUUAUUUCACACUCUUAGUAUCAAAUAGACCAUGUUGAAGUACUUUAAUUUCCUUAAAAUACAUAAUAAGUAUAUAUUUAAUAAGAAGUAGCUAAUAAUGAUGAAGUAGCUAAUUAUGAUGAAUGUCUUCUGCAUUCUAUUUUCAUGAAACAUUUUGCUUUGGAGAAUUCAAAUGAAAAUACAACAGGUCUCCUGAUUUUACCACUAGAGGGCAAAAGAUAUUAAGAAACAGGGCAACAAAGCUCACUUGCUUCUGAGAUUCUCUAAUUUUAUGGUUUGGAAUUUCUAGGUAACUAUUUGAAAUGAACCAAUUCAGAAAACAAAUAAGAAAUGUACAAAUGAGGAUAGGAAAAGGUUAAGAGGGAAAAACUAACAUUUUUUAUAAGAAUGAAAUCUCCACGUUCCCAAAAGUGCUCACCUACAUACAUUUAUUAAUUAGAUUAUUGAUUUGGGUUAAACAUUCAAUUAAACACUGAAAUAGGCGGGCAGUGAUAAAUUGUGAUGUUUCCUCUCCUGGUGAUGUUUGAGAAAAAUACUGCCUGGUUAAUGCAAUCGUAUCUAGAAAAUUAGGAAUGAGCUGGUCCAGAAUCAAUAAGGCCAAGCUCUUGCAUUCAAUUUGUGUAUAGGUCAGUGAACAUCUCUCUAAAUCAGAGGCACCCCCCUCACUCUAACCAGCAAGUAGUCAUCACCAGUCAUAAAGGAACAGAGUCCAUGUGCACAGGCAGGACCCAGCCCCAACCCAGCUCCACACCGAAGAACAGAAUGGAAUCAAAGUGCACUUUCUACUGAUGGUGGGUCAAUGAGAUCUCCCACCAAAUGGACAGUAUUUUAAUCUUAAGACUAGAAAUUACUUGUGCAGUAAAAAAUGCAAACUUCUACUGUUCUUCAUACCAUCAUUUUUCCAACUUCCCUUUUCUCAUUUCUAUUUUCUUUCUCACCUAUGUAUGCUACAAUGCUGUUUUUUCCCCUUUGAUAGGGUGCAUUCAUGGAAGAGGUGGUGAAUUACUGAUUUUAGUGGUUUAAAAAAUUAUUUCACUUCUUCCACCAGUUUUGCUGAAACAGCUUGAAUUAAGCUUGGAAUCGAAUCCAAUUGAACUCAAAACAGAUCCAGAUGCUCUAUCCCUAUACUCUGCAGAAGACGGCACCUUACCCACUACAAUGAGCUCACUUCCUCUCCACUGCAUGAAAAUCACAGUCCUCAUUUCAUAAAUGAGAAAUUUUGAGAAAAACUGUACAUAUUACUUAGAAUCAACCUGCUAUUUCUGUAUCCAAAACAGCCCUCGUUGGUCUGAGGAUGGUUGUGACCAACACUGCAUUUGUACAGCUGGAAAUAUCAGUGUACUGCACGUGUUCCCACACUGCUUCCCAAUCUCUCUAAAAAGUCAAAGUCAACUAGAGGGCUGAGAAAAUCAUCUUGAUGAUUUGGCCAGAAUACUAGGUAAUUAUUCUGGAUAUAAGGGCUAAAGGCUGGGGAAGAUAAAUAUUCUUCUGAAUGUUUAUUUACAUUAUUCUGUAUGUUUAUGAUAAGUGUAAUGGGUUUUUUUUUUACUUUUUCAGAAAAGUCCCAGAAAUAACUGUAUUACAUAAAUGUUCUGCAUUGUCUUAAAAUUACUGAAGUCUAUUUUGCCUAACAUAGCUCAUUAUUUCAUUUUGACUUCCUCAUCUCUAGCUUUUCAAUGUAUUUUCUUGUAUGAUUUAGGUCUUCUUUAGAUAUAAAUGUUGUUGAGCCCCAGUUGCAUCUGAUACAUGAAAAUCAUCUUUUGAAUCUGCCAAUUCUGUUUUUAUUGCUGUGAUACCUUUGGAAGCCAAAUUAUGCUUUAAUAGAGUUGAAUGGGUUUCAGGAGAAAAACCUGCAUACAUUGUGUUUUGAGUCACUCACCCAGGAUCUGCUCAUUGUGAUCCCUUAGAAGCUGACCCUAUUAUUUUGCAUGGAGCACCUAACUUAUGUGAGUCCACAGUAGAAACGAUAUAGAGAAAAACACCAUGUCCUGAGCUUAGCAGAAUUCACUUUCCCAUCCUCAGUCACUCCUUUGUGUGUCAGGGAAUCUCUCAUCACAUUGUCCCCUUCCUGAACUCAGGUCAGAUAGAAUUCUUCCUUUCCCAGCCUUGAAUGACUCCCUUGAUCUGAUGCUCACUGAAUUAUAUUGUUUUCAGGAAUAUCUGAGGCUAUGUUAGGUUUUUUUGUUUGUUUGUUCAUUUGUUUGUUUUUUUUUUGUUUUUUGUAGCAAGAGUCUGUAGGGCAGCCAGGCUUUGCUCACAUCUGAGAACAGGAGGCUGGGUGUACUGGAAAUCAUUCCACCCUAGGGAUCUGAUGUGACACUGAGGUCACAACCCCCACACAUGGGUGGGCCUGAACACAUCCCUCAGAGACAGAAACACCAAACACUACCUGAAUUUAUGAAGAAAAUGCAGCUUCUUGAUUUUCUAUCGUAGAUCUAUUCUGCCUCGUAAACAUCCAUUUCACUUGUAUCAGGAGGUGGAAAACAGUCUUUUAAACUUGUCAAUGUUAGGUAUUAAGUCUUCUGUGAACUUUACACCUCUUAUCUUUUUUUUUUUUCUUUUUAUGGCUGCACCUGCAGCAGAUGGAAGUUCCUGGGCUAGUGGUAAAACCAGAGCUGCAACUGCCAGUCUACACCACAGCCACAGCAACGCUGGAUCAAGUUGCAUCCGCAACCUAGGGCAACACCAGAUCCUUAACCCUUCAGGCCUGGGACUGAACCUGCAUCCUCAUGGACACUAUGUCAGGUUUUUAACGCACUGAGACACAUGGGAACUCCCCUUCUCCCAUUUUGAAUAUCAUUAUGAAUUCACAGAAUCAUGAACUCGACUUGUUUAUGAAUAAUUAUUUUUUAAUGUGCAAAUGGUUCCAAGUUGAAUAUCUCAAAGCUGAUUCCACUGUCCUUUCAGCACUAUUCCUGGUAUUUUAAAAGCAUCUUUGCAUUCAGACAAGAAUGAAAUGUUCACCUAGUCUUCAAAGAGCUCUGGUUCCUUUCACAAUGGAGAGUCAAAGGAGAGAGCAAAAUCCCAGACAUUAGAGAGCACAGCUGACAUUGGUUUACUGCUCAGCCUCUUCAGUGAUAGAACACGCUGAAAAUCCACAUUCAUAUUUUUCAGUUUAGCUUAGAUUUCCUAAAUCUAUUUCAUUUCCUUCUAACAUAUUUUUUUCUCUACAACAUACUUAAUUGCAAAAUGAGACAGGGCUCUUCAUAAAGAGUUCAAAUCACCAUUAUCUUUCUGGUUGGGGAUGGGAGUGAGAUAUAAAGGGUAUUCCAGAUAAAAUUAAGCUUGUACAGCUGACCCUUGAACAAUGCAGGGGUUAGGGACAUCCACCCUCAGCACAACUGAAAAUCUGAGUUUAACUUUAUAGUCAGCCCUCCACAUCCACAGAUUCAACAAACGACAGAUCAGGUAGUGCUGUAGUAUGUAUUUAUUGAAAAAAAAAACUGCAAAUAAGUGGACUCAUGCAGUUCAAACGUGUGUUGUUCAAGGGUCAACUACAUAUAGGCACAUCAUAUACAGAGAUCCAAAGGCAUGAAAGUGACAUGAAAUAAAAUGAUGGGAGGAGAAGGCAGUGACAAGAGAUGAGGGUACCUGGGAUGUUUGGUUAGUAUAGGAGGGAUCUCGGUUUGCCACACAGUGGAGUUUGAUUUUCACCCAAUGGCUGAUCUUAAGACAAAAGUAACUAGGUGAUUUUAAGAAAUGUUCUAGAAAGCUAAUCAGCAAAUAAAUUUACAAUAAUUACAAAAAAAAACAUAUUUAUAUCAUUAACCUUCCUUCAAGGUGAAGCAUUCUAGGAAAGGCUUAAAGAAGGAAAUUUUUAUGCAUAUGAGUUUUUAAAACAAAUCCUUGAUAUUUUAUAAGCUGAGGUUGCUAAGUCAAGCCCUAAGGGAAAUAUCAUCUCCUUGUAUGAUGGUAUUUAUCUAUCUCCUUCACCCAUGGAAGAAGGGAUCAAAUGUACCCAUUAUGCCAUCCCAUAGCAGAAUUCUAAGGUUAAACCCCCAUGAUCUCUGCCUCUGGUGGUAUAAAUUUGAUUAGGUUACAUCUCUGAUUAGGUUACAUUAUAUUCCAUGACUAAGGAAAUUUUUCAGAUGUAAUUAGUUGAAAAUUUCAUCAAAAAGGAGAUUAUCUCCAGUGAACCUGACUUAAGGAGUUGUAAGCCCUUUAAGAGAGGAUUUCAGUCUUCACUGAGGUCAGAAAGAGAGUCUCUUGCUGGCUUUGAAGAAGAAGUCAUAAUAAGUUCUACAGCCACCAGGAAAUGAAUUCUGCCAACAACUAUAUGAACUUGGAAGAAGAAUUUGAAACUCUGAUGAGACUCCAGACCUGGCUGAUAUUUUGACUGCAGUUCUGUGACACCCUAUGCAGCAGACCCGGCUAAGCUAAUCUGUGUCCCUGAAUCAUGGAAACUGUGAGAUAAGUAUGUGUUGCUUUAAGCUCUGAAAUAUGUAGUAAUUUGUAAUGAAGCAAUGAAAACUAACAUAUCCAUAUGAAUGGUAAAGAAAAUCUUAUGCCUAUCAAAAUAGGCAGUGUGGACAAUGGUUAAAGACAUGGAGCCUAAAGCCAGGCUACAUGGGUUCAUGCCCAGCAAUCACCGCCUGUUGGUGUGUAACUUCUGUCAUGUUCCUUCACGCUUCCAUGCCUCAAUGUCCUCAUUAUGAAAUGAGGAUGAACAAACAUAAAGCUUAGCUUAUAGGAUUAUUCUGAGAGUUAAAGGACUUAAUUUAUGCCAAGUCCCUAGAAUGCAUGCACCUGGCAUGCAAUAAGCACACUAUAAGACAUUAGCUAUCCUUAUGUGAUUUAAGUAGUUAUCAGUGGAUCUAGAACCAUCAAAAGCUUUCUUCAUAUACCCUCUUAACAAAUUAACGGUCAUCCUAUUAUUAACACUGAAGGCAUUUUAUAAAAAGGUCAAAUUAUCACUGUGCUGGGAUUCUAUAAUCGAAUUCAUUCAGAAAAAAACAUUAAAGGAUAAAACAAUGUAAGAAAACAUUAUCUCAAUUUUAAAUUACAAACUCUCUUAACGCCCCCCUCCUGUAAGAUCUGGAGAUCAGUCAGUUCCAAAGUAAUCACCAAAAUGCAUGAGUAACAGUGGAACUCCUACGUUGUAGGUGCUGCAUGUUACUUCCAAGGAAUUACACAGUGCAAAAAUUUUAUAUCUAUAAAAUAAAAU
rnacentral:lncRNA from 1 species